rnacentral:rRNA from 1 species
GACGAACGCUGGCGGCGUGCUUAAUACAUGCAAGUCGAGCGGUGAACCUGACUGAAAGCCUUCGGGCUUGACGUUGGGGGAUCAGCGGCGGAUGGGUGAGUAACGCGUGGGUACCUGCCCUAAAGUCUGGGAUAACAACUCGAAAGGGUUGCUAAUACCGGAUGUGACCGAGAGGUUAAAAGGCAGAGAUGUCGCUUUAGGAUGGGCCCGCGUCCCAUUAGCUAGUUGGUGAGGUAAGGGCUCACCAAGGCUGCGAUGGGUAGCCGGCCUGAGAGGGUGGACGGCCACACUGGGACUGAGACACGGCCCAGACUCCUACGGGAGGCAGCAGUAGGGAAUUUUCCGCAAUGGACGGAAGUCUGACGGAGCGACGCCGCGUGGGGGAAGAAGGCCUUCGGGUUGUAAACCUCUGUCUUCAGGGACGAAGAGGGUGUGGGAGACACACCGAAGCCGGUACCUGAGGAGGAAGCCCCGGCUAACUACGUG